GUGCACCAGAUACUAACCUGGCUGUCAAUGUCGCAGUUCUGUUAUAGAUCUGAGACAAUCUGUGAUCGUUGGGUCCAAGUGGUGCUAUAUCAAAAAAAGCCUUGAGCAUAUUAGCUUAGUGUGCAGAGAAACACUGAGUUAUAACUCAGAGGUACAGCA